ensembl:snRNA U1 U1 spliceosomal RNA
AUACUUAUAUGGCAGGGGAGACACCAUGAUAAAGCAGGUGGUUUUCCCAGGAUGAGGCUCAUCCCUUGCACUCUGGGUGUGCUGACCCCUGUGAUUUCCCCAAAUGAGAGAAACUUGACUACAUAAUUUGUGGUAGUGUUUUUGGGGUUUU